rnacentral:rRNA from 1 species
CUACGGGGGCAGCAGUGGGGAAUAUUGGACAAUGGGCGAAAGCCUGAUCCAGCCAUGCCGCGUGUGUGAAGAAGGCCUUCGGGUUGUAAAGCACUUUCAGUGGGGAAGAAAGCCUUGGGGCUAAUACCCUCGAGGAAGGACAUCACCCACAGAAGAAGCACCGGCUAACUCCGUGCCAGCAGCCGCGGUAAUACGGAGGGUGCGAGCGUUAAUCGGAAUUACUGGGCGUAAAGCGCGCGUAGGCGGUCUGAUAAGCCGGUUGUGAAAGCCCCGGGCUCAACCUGGGAACGGCAUCCGGAACUGUCAGGCUAGAGUGCAGGAGAGGAAGGUAGAAUUCCCGGUGUAGCGGUGAAAUGCGUAGAGAUCGGGAGGAAUACCAGUGGCGAAGGCGGCCUUCUGGACUGACACUGACGCUGAGGUGCGAAAGCGUGGGUAGCAAACAGGAUUAGAUACCCCAUAGU